CGCUGGCGGCGUGCUUAAUACAUGCAAGUCAACUUGACUUUAGAUAGCAAUAUCGAAAGUAGGGUGGCGCACGGGUGCGUAACGCGUAGGUAAUCUGCCCUGAGGUCUGACAUAACCCGUCGAAAGGCGGGCUAACAUCAGAUGAUAUAUAAUCACGACAUCGUGGAAAUAUCAAAUCUUCGGAGCCUUGGGAUGAGCCUGCGUCUGAUUAGGUAGUUGGCGGAGUAAUAGCCCACCAAGCCUACGAUCAGUAGCUGGUCUGAGAGGAUGAUCAGCCACACUGGAACUGAGACACGGUCCAGACUCCUACGGGAGGCAGCAGUAAGGAAUAUUGCUCAAUGGGGGAAACCCUGAAGCAGCAACGCCGCGUGAAGGAUGAAAUACUUUUGUAUGUAAACUUCUGUAAGAUGGGAAAAAUAUUCUCCUCGGGAGAAUUGAUUGUACCAUCAGAGUAAGCCCCGGCUAACUACGUG
rnacentral:rRNA from 1 species